rnacentral:rRNA from 1 species
UCUCGGCAACGGAUAUCUCGGCUCUCGCAUCGAUGAAGAACGUAGCGAAAUGCGAUACUUGGUGUGAAUUGCAGAAUCCCGUGAACCAUCGAGUCUUUGAACGCAAGUUGCGCCCGAAGCCUUCGGGCCGAGGGCACGCCUGCCUGGGCGUCACGCAUCGCGUCGCCCCCCCAAC